rnacentral:rRNA from 1 species
AUUGAACGCUGGCGGCAGGCUUAACACAUGCAAGUCGAGCGAGCGGCGGACGGGUGGGUAAUGUCUGGGAAACUGCCUGAGGGAGGGGGAUAACUACUGGAAACGGUAGCUAAUACCGCAUACCAUCAGAUGUGCCCAGAUGGGAGUAGCGAGUAGGUGGGGUAAUGGCUCACCUAGGCGACGACCCCUAGCUGGUCUGAGAGGAUGACCAGCCACACUGGAACUGAUACACGGGCCAGACUCCUGCGGGAUACAGCAGUGGGUAAUAUUGCACAAUGGGCGCAAGCCGGAUGCAGCCAUGCCGCGUGUGUGAAGAAGGCCUUCGGGUUUUAAAGCACUUUCAGCGAGGAGGCGUUACUCGCAGAAGAAGCACCGGCUAACGCCGUGCCAGCCGCCGCGGUAAUAC